rnacentral:lncRNA from 7 species
AGAAAGAGCAGGGAGCCUCUAUUGUACUGAUAUAAUCUUCAGUCUUUUAUUCCAAAACACUCAGUGGCUAAGAGGGCAAUGCAGUGGUUUGAUUUUUGGUACCAUAAUAAUUUCAUGUUCUGAAAGGAACUAUUUUCUUGGGACAGAAAAGAAUCCUGUUUGAUCAGUCAACAGUCAAGAAAAGGAGAAGGAAGCAAUCUUAUUUCUGUUUGUACCUGAUUCUUCCCCUGAGUUCAUUUUCUAAGAGACUACAUAACCUUUUCAGAAUAAAGAACUGUUUUUCUCUUUAGAGC